rnacentral:rRNA from 1 species
AAUCUUCCGCAAUGGGCGAAAGCCUGACGGAGCAACGCCGCGUGAAUGAUGAAGGCCUUCGGGUCGUAAAGUUUUGUCCUCAGGGAAGAACCAUUACAGGAGGGAAUGCCUGUAAUCUGACGGUACCUGAGGAGGAAGCCCUGGCUAACUACGUGCCAGCAGCCGCGGUAAUACGUAGAGGGCAAGCGUUGUCCGGAAUCACUGGGCGUAAAGGGUACGCAGGCGGAAAUACAAGUCAAGUGUGAAAUCUACCGGCUCAACCGGUAAGCUGCAUUUGAAACUGUAUAUCUUGAGUAUAGGAGAGGAGAGCGGAAUUCCUGGUGUAGCGGUGGAAUGCGUAGAUAUCAGGAAGAACACCAGUGGCGAAGGCGGCUCUCUGGCCUAAAACUGACGCUCAUGUACGAAAGCUGGGGGAGCAAAC